rnacentral:rRNA from 1 species
AUUGAACGCUGGCGGCGUGCCUUACACAUGCAAGUCGAACGGUAACAGGCCGCAAGGUGCUGACGAGUGGCGAACGGGUGAGUAAUGCAUCGGAACGUGCCCAGUCGUGGGGGAUAACUGCUCGAAAGAGCAGCUAAUACCGCAUACGACCUGAGGGUGAAAGCGGGGGACCGUAAGGCCUCGCGCGAUUGGAGCGGCCGAUGUCAGAUUAGCUAGUUGGUGGGGUAAAGGCCUACCAAGGCAACGAUCUGUAGUUGGUCUGAGAGGACGACCAGCCACACUGGGACUGAGACACGGCCCAGACUCCUACGGGAGGCAGCAGUGGGGAAUUUUGGACAAUGGACGCAAGUCUGAUCCAGCCAUGCCGCGUGCGGGAAGAAGGCCUUCGGGUUGUAAACCGCUUUUGUCAGGGAAGAAACGCUCUGGGUUAAUACCUCGGGGUAAUGACGGUACCUGAAGAAUAAGCACCGGCUAACUACGUGCCAGCCGCCGCGGUAAAAC